AAAUCUGGAGUAAGCUGGGUUGAUAUGCACAUAUUAGCACAUAGAGUGAUUCUUGAGUCACUAAAGAAGGGACACAUUGUUGUGGGCAAUGUUGUUGACAUGAUGGAUGCACACUUGGGUCCUGUUUUUAUGCCGCAUGGUCUAGGGCAUUUCCUUGGUUUAGAUACACAUGACCCUGGGGAUUUUUGUGGAUUUUUGUUCAG